rnacentral:lncRNA from 1 species
GCGACCCGGGAGCGAGCGGGUCCCCGGGGGAGGGAGGGAGGAGAGGCCGGGACCCCGCGCGCCCGCGCCCCGACACACCCCCGGCCCCGCGCCCACGGCCCCCCCCUCCCGCGCGGUCCAGGGCGCGACCCCGGGGUCCCCAAGCAGGAGCGCGGCCCGGGAGGAGCGGGUCCCCCGGGGGAGGGAGGAGAGGCGGCCCCCCCGCGACCCGGGGCGCGACCUCGGGGUCCCCCAGCAGGAGGGCGGCCCGGGAGGAGCGGGUCCCCCGGGGGAGGCAGGAGACGUGCCCGCCCCCCCGCGACCCAGGGCGCGACCCCGGGGUCCCCCGGCGGGAGGGCGGCCCGGGAGGAGCGGGUCCCGGGAGGGGAGGGAGGAGAGCGGGGGACCCCGCGCGCCCGCGCCCCGACACCCCCCCCGGGCCCCCCCGCGGCUCUCCUCCCCCGCACCCCCGACCCGGGCGCGACCCCGGGGUCCCCCAGCAGGAGGGCGGCCCUGGAGGAGCGGGUCCCCCGGGGAGGCAGGAGAGGCAGGGACCCCGCGCGCCCCCGACCCAGGGCGCGACCUCGGGGUCCCCCGGCGGGAGGGCGGCCCGGGAGGAGCGGGUCCCGGGGAGGGAGGGAGGGAGGGAGGAGAGCGGGGACCCCCGCCCGCGCGGUCCAGGGGCGCCCCGGGGAGGGCAGCGGCGGGCGGGGGUGGACGCGGGGCGCCGAGCUCACCUGGCGGCCGGCGUCCCGGAGCGGAGGCUGCCCCCGCCUGGCCCCCGCGUGCUUCCCGGAGCCGGGCGGCCUCGAGCCCGCCGCAUGGACGGCCGCCGCCUCCUCCUCCGCCUCCUCCUCCUCCUCCUCCUCCUCCUCCGCCGCCGCCGCCGCCUCCGCCGCCUGCACGGGCUCCCGCUGCGCCUUGGUCCGGCGUCGGGGCGAGCGGGCGGCGGGCGGCUGCGGUGCGCGCGGAGAGCCGGGCCCCGAGUGUGCGACCGGCCCUGCGGGGACCCGCGCGGCCUCCCCGUCCCUCCCCCGCCCCCGCCCCCCGCCCCGCUCCGGCCUCCCGCUGUCAUGGGGCCGCGCCUGCCGCCGCCUGGCGGCCGCCGCGGGAAGGGCCGGCCCGCGCCCCCCACCCCGCCGCGACCCCCGGCCCCGGCGCCCCCACCCCCACCCCGACCCCCGGAGAACCCGCAGCACCCGGAAACCCGAGGGCGGCCUAGACGGGAGGGCGGCGAGGGCCCGAGGGAGCAAGCGCGGCCGGUGGGCGGGGAUGCGCGGCGGGAGCCCGACAGGGGCCCAGGCGGGAGCCCCGAAGGUCCCAGACGGACCCGCGCAUCCUUGUGUUUGGAACAAUCACUCUGGCAACAGGAUAGGCCUGAGGCUGAACCCAGGAACCAAGGAAAGUCUCCCUGGGAGCCCGAGCAGGGAAGAAGGCCUGACUCAAAGGGCGCCCGGGUCGCCCUCACUCCUGUGCUCACGCACAAGGUCACAAGGGGAUCCGGGAUGUCAACCUAAAGCCAAGUCCCAAGGUCCCAUGCCCCUGCCUGGGGCUGGCCCCCUACUUGACCUGUAA